UAAGUAGGGCGGGACACGUGAAAUCCUGUCUGAAGAUCGGGGGACCACCCUCGAAGGCUAAGUACUCCUUGCUGACCGAUAGCGAACCAGUACCGUGAGGGAAAGGUGAAAAGCACCCCGACGAGGGGAGUGAAACAGUACCUGAAACCGAACGCCUACAAUCAGUUGGAGGCCCCUUGAGGGCUGACAGCGUACCUUUUGUAUAAUGGGUCAUCGACUUGGU
rnacentral:rRNA from 1 species